rnacentral:lncRNA from 1 species
CAGUGAAAUACAUUCUUACAUCUCACCUAUAUGUCAUAUCAGUGUUUCUACAUUCUUUGGUUAUGAGGAUAACUAAUUCAUAUGGCAUACAAUAAUCUAUACUUGAUAAAUAUUAUCAUCCUAGUAAUAACGUAUCGUUUGAUCGUGAACAAGUUUAAGAAUUACAUUAUAAAUUUUUUUUUAUUAAUUAGAAUGUAAUUUUAAGGACUUCAUCAUAACACAGG